rnacentral:rRNA from 1 species
GGUUGUCGUCAGCUCGUGUCGUGAGAUGUUGGUUAAGUCCCGCAACGAGCGCAACCCCUAUUGUUAGUUGCCAUCAUUCAGUUGGGCACUCUAGCGAGACUGCCGGUAAUAAACCGGAGGAAGGUGGGGAUGACGUCAAAUCAUCAUGCCCCUUAUGACCUGGGCUACACACGUGCUACAAUGGUUGGUACAACGAGUUGCGAGUCGGUGACGGCGAGCUAAUCUCUUAAAGCCAAUCUCAGUUCGGAUUGUAGGCUGCAACUCGCCUACAUGAAGUCGGAAUCGCUAGUAAUCGCGGAUCAGCACGCCCGCGGUCCGAAUACGUUCCGGGCCUU